GUUUGGAGAAGACAAGAUGGCGCUGGUUACCUCGUGUGUAAUAUCAAAGGGCAUUUUUGUUCACAAAUACCCGCUUAUUUUACGUUAUAGCGACUGGUUCGUUUUGGAAAUUAUAACUCAAUGGACGGGGAAAAUGAUUCUGUAUUAAAAAGAAAAAGAUGUGCAGUUAUUGUGAUGUUAUUUGUUGUGAAAGACGGCCCGAAAUUUCGCUACUUCGCUGUAAUGGUUUAUAAAACAUUUACAAGCAACAGCAAUUGAACUAUAUGACAAAGAAACCAAUGUGUACAAGCCAAUCAAGUUCUUCAGUUUAAAGGUCAGUUUAUUUUUAAUAAUUAGUUCAUGUAGUUAUAUAUUAAUACGAAGUACAGGGCCAUUCCAUUUAAUAUCCACACCCUCCUGUUGAAUAGAUUUUCCGAAGGGGGUCUGAAAUUUUGAAUUUCUGAGGGUGUGCCAAGUUGAAAUUUCCGAG
rnacentral:lncRNA from 1 species